AUUUUAGGUAUGUGUGUGAAACAUCAGAACUGAAUAAUGGACCAGAGAAUUCAGAGAUCUUUGGUUACCUGUUUCCGGUUUCGUCGGUUCACAUUGCUGCGUUCCUGACCUAGCUUCGCCUCCAUCAUUAGAUCAUAUUAUAAUAUGCAUUAUAGACUAUAGUUAUACAGCUUGAAUUUGAAAGAGCUACAUGGUCGUUGUUUCGAGUGCUUUUUCAUCUGCUGUGACAGACAGCAUCAACGGUUACCAACAUAAUAGGUGCAUUGCAAGUUGUGCAAUGCUGAAUGCAUACGUUUCGUCAGUGACUUCCUUCUGCCUCAUUGAUGCGAAACUGAUAAUAAACAUGCAAGAGAAUACAGCUAUAGUUACUCUGGACUGCCAUGAUAGAAACAUUGAAACAGAUAUUGACUGGCUUUAGGUUUUUAUUGGUGUUGCAAACGAUGAAACGAUCACUAAAUUCUGUGCCUAUGUGAGAUUUGUUGGUUCAUCGAAUAACAUCAAACUUACAGUAAGGUAAACGGUCAAGCAAAGUGUGCAAGGUCGUUGAUGGAGUAUUCCAUGUGAAAUCCUCUCACCAGUCUGAGCCCCACCAACUGAACAUCAGAGGACCAACUUGCACCUGCAGAAACUUCAGCAGGACUCACAUCCCCUGCAGACAUAUUUUUCAAGCUAUCGAUGAUGGUUUAAUGAAAUGGGAGGACCUACCUGAAGAUUACAGAAACAUACCGUUCUUCGUAAAAGAUAAAGGAAGUGAUAUUGGGAUAUGGCCAGCUGAUGCAGAUGUAAACAAAUGCUGCGAUUAUCCAGCAUCAGAAGACGAGGAUGAAGAAGUAGAAGAUGAUGAGGUUGGAGGAAAUGGGGAUAAAAGAAAGAAGAAACGGGACAUAGACUAUAUAAAGGAGAUUGGCGGGAGCUUUCAAACAGAAUAACUUCCUUCGUUAAUGAUCCCGAGUUUGACGUGAUGGACGAUGAUGUCCGUGCAUUAUUAUAUAAGAAACUGUCAGAUACCGCCAAUGAUGUGGCAUCCUAUAUUUACAAAAGAAACUAAUAUAGAUAACAUAGAUAAGAUUAUGUUUGAUAAUAUAUUACUUUAAAAGCCGUGCAAUCAUUUUAGAUAUUAGAUAUUAAACUAACCAUAUUAUGAUAUUCUCCGUCUAACUAUUCGAUCUGUCACCAUCUCACUAUUCAAUCUGUCUCAACGUUCAUUCUCUGUUUAACUAUUCAAUCUCUGUCUCAGUGUUCAUUUUCUUGUUUAACUAUUCAAUCUUUGUCUCAGCGUUCAUUCUCUGUCUCGACAUUCAUUUUCCGUCUGACUAUUCAAUCUGUCUCAAUGUUCAUUCUCUGUCUCGACGUUCAUUCUGCGUCUCACUAUUCAAUCUGUCUCAAUGUUCAUUCUCUGUCUCGACGUUCAUUCUCCGUCUCAAUAUUCAAUCUGUCUCAACGUUCAUUAUGUGUUUAACUAUUCAAUCUCUUUCUCAGUGAUCAUUCUCUGUUUAACUAUUAAAUCACUGUUCAUUCCUGUCUCGACGUUAAUUCUCCGUCUCAUUAUUCAAUCUCUGCAUCAGUGUUCAUUCUCUAUUUUAGAGUUAAUUCCCUGUCUUACCUUUCAAUCUUUCUCGGUGUUCAUUCUCUGUCUGACUGUUCAAUUUCUGUCUCACUGUCCAUUCUCUGUCUCGCUGUUCAAUCUUCGUGUUUCUUUCAAAGUGUUACAGUGACAAGGAGACCGAAUGAUAUUGUUGUAAAAUAAAAAGCUUGUCCGCUUUAGUUAUAGUGAUAUUAAAACAUAUACAACACCAUGUAUUAUGAAAUUUUAGAUUUUGUUACAAAAUA